GGGUCUCUUGCCUCGCUCGGUCUUCUGCUCCCGUCGGUUGAUCUUGAGCUGGAUGCAGAGUGCACUAGAUGUUCUCUGUAUGAGACGAGAGAAAGCUUGCCUUCAACGAUUUUUGAGUACGAUUUUAUCCGCAUCCCACGGGUAUGAUCGUAAUUUAUCCGUUGGGACAUUU
rnacentral:snoRNA from 1 species